rnacentral:rRNA from 1 species
CAGUAGCCGCGGUAAUACGAAGGGGGCUAGCGUUGUUCGGAAUUACUGGGCGUAAAGCGCACGUAGGCGGAUAUUUAAGUCAGGGGUGAAAUCCCGCAGCUCAACUGCGGAACUACCUUUGAUACUGGGUAUCUUGAGUAUGGAAGAGGUUAGUGGAAUUGCGAGUGUAGAGGUGAAAUUCGUAGAUAUUCGCAGGAACACCAGUGGCGAAGGCGGCUAACUGGUCCAUAACUGACGCUGAGGUGCGAAAGCGUGGGGAGCAAACAGGAUUAGAUACCCCCGUAGUCCCUGUCUCUUAUAC